ensembl:lncRNA
CUGCAUCUGAUUCAAACCAGCAUGGGUAGGAAGUGCUGCCUCGAGGGGGGAGGAGUUCAGAUGCAAAUCCAGCUGCCCCCAAGCCUGGGCUAUAAAACUGCUCAGUGGGGGAAGGAGCAAACCAGAUUUGUGAUGUUUGGGUGGAAAGAAGAGGCGUGCAGAGCUUUCUGCAGUGAUUUUUUUUCCACCUGGAUUUAUGCCCUUUGUCUUUCUAUCAUCAUUCAAAUUGCUGGGGUUGCUCUGGGGAAAAGCUUCACAUUUUUUUCUGGCUGGAUUUGUGUGAGUGUGGAGGUGCAUUCUUUCAAACAUCCCCCGCUGUACAAAAAUGUACAGAAACAAUGGUCUCUGCAAGGAGCUAUGUGAAAAGGGAGCAAAUGGGGAGGAUGAAUCACAGUGCUACAGAAUCAUUGAGGUUGGAAAAGACCUCUGUGAUCACCAAGUCCAACCCCAACCCACCCCACCGUGCCCACUGACCACAUCCUUCAAUGCCACAUCUCCAUGGUCACUGAACACCUCCAGGGGCGAUGACUCCACCACGCAGCUGUUUCAGGCAAGCUCCAUCCUGAACCUGAUUUCCUGAGACCAACAAAGGAAAUAACCACUGUGCCCAAGGCUAUUUAAAACUCCCUCUGUGAUGCACAAGUCACACGCGCUCAUGAAAUCACUGCAGACAUCACACGCGAAGUCAUCGCGGCGCCAGCAGAAGGAUGUGGGAGCUCUCCUCGUUGCCUCUCCUCCUUGGACCAACUUCCCACCCAUUUGUCCCUCUGGGCUGCUGCCCUCCAGCAGUGAUAGGGCAGCUGAGGAGCCCAAGUCCUGUUGACUUGCAAGGGGCUUAAAUUGAUACCUCCUGAUCUGCACCACUUCUUCCAAAUGGAGUUUCUCCCUCUUCACAACGUCUCACUCUGCAUUGUCCUCCAGCUCAGGAUGUGCCUCUCAGCCUGCCUUCAGGGAGGAAGACCGAUUAUUCCUGCUUUUAAGAACCACUUCCUAACGAACUCAUGUGUUCUUCCAUUCUGCAGCUGGCUCUCAGAUUGCCUGAGAUCGUUUCCUCCCCCUUCUUGGUAUUUGCAAAUAAAGUAUUUACAGUUGAAUUCGGGUGGCAGCCUGUGUUGCGUCGGGGUGUUUCGGAGGAUGCUGUGGGUCAGCAUGGCCCUGUGCUGCUGCAGGAAGAUGGGACACUGCCACCGCAGCCCCAGAAACCGAGGGGGUCACUGCAAGGCUGUCAGCCACAGCUUGUUACCUGAGCGACGGGCAGGAACAAGGACUGAAAUCAGAGAGCUACACAGAAAAUCUCACUGCGUUCAGAACUGUGGUCUGUCCUGCAUGCUAACUGCUGUCAAUUACUUAUUUUUCGCAUCCUGGGCAUUGACAUCAGCUGACGAGAUGCUUUGAGAUCUAACCUGAACCAUCCCAAACGUGUUCCCCUGCCAUCUGCCCAGAGAGCAGGGAACACCAGUCCAGGAGUCAACCUUGGGGGGGUUCAAGAGCAUCCGUAUGCUUGCAUCCGUGGACCACUGUAUCUAGAAACUUUCCCUGCUGGCAGACACACGUCCCUGCUUGGCUCACACACCUGGCACUUCUCCACCCGUCCCCUUCAGCAAAGGUGUUUGAGUUGCUCACGGUGGUACAGCCUUGGUGACAUCGCUGCCAGCUCUGCGACAAGAAGACAGCACUCUGGUGUCCUCCGUCAUGUCAUCCCUAUGGAGCCCAGGGACAAAACUUCAUGAGUCUGGCCAGGAGAAGCAGGAGAGAGCUGAUAACCCCAUCCCUUCCACGUCUUGGGCUUACGGUAACCUCGGAUGCCACGGGGCAAAUUCCGCAGUGCUGCUUAAGGUGCCAUAAUUUAGAGCCUCUCAGCUUUGCUAAGGCUCCCUGAGUACCACGUGCCCCCUGUCUGCUGAUGCAUAAAGUAACCUGAAUCAGUGUAAUUUAUGCACCAAUGAAAAGGUGCAAGCUAAAAUACCUCCCAGCCUAAAAUAGCCUCUAAGUGAGAAGAGGGAGAGGAAGGGGCAUCUUAGCUUUAUGCCCCAUAGAGCACCAGCUCUGAAUUUGGCCCUGGGCCUCAAAGCUUUUAAAAACAGAGUAAUUUUGAUUUGGAGGAGGUCACACGUGCUCUUGUGCACAUCUCCCCUGCUUUAUUUGAGUCCUGGCCCACGCGAGGAGAGCAAGAGCAAGCUGAGGGCUGGCAGAGCUGCAUGCUGGUGCUUGGCAAGCUGAUUUUCCACCUCUUGUUGCUACCCUGCCUGUGUGCAUCUCUGCAAAGCAGAGAUAGAGCAGGGCCAUUCCCCUUGGUAGCAACAAAGCAGCAGCCCCUCCACACGUCAGCAGCUCAGCACGUUCCAUAUGACCGUCUUUUAUCACAUUGGUGCUCCCUUUAAGCACAGGACAAGUUGUUUUCCAUCCGUGCAGCCGUCUCAGGACCACAUGGAUUUACUGCUAUCAAUGCUUUGUGCUGACCCGAAUAUUUCCAAAAUUUAUGUCACCCUGCCCAGUGCACACUUAGUGCUUAAUUGUCACCGCAGGCACUGCUAAUAUCCAUACCCUGUGACCUGUCUGCAACCCAGGCCAGUCAGUGCUGCUGUGACGUGUGCUGGCAAUGGUGAGCGUCACGGCUGAUGCCUGGCUGUGACAUUAUGUGCCUGUGACAUGUGCAUCAACCUCGGGGUAAGUGAGCUGAUGUAGAAAGCAAUGAAUAAACGUCCUCAGGUUUGAGGAGGGGAUGCUGUCAAAGGCUUUCCAAAAAUAGUUGGUAACUGGCUUUGUAUGAGGCUUAUUCUUGCCUGGGAUGGGCUCUCAGAAGCGUCAAAUCUGCACAUUCCUCCCUGAGUGCAUCCCUGUGCCCCAGGACCACGCUCCCCAAACACUGCACUGUGGCUCUGGGCUGUGUGUGCCCAGCAGAACAUCACUGUCCCCUGCUGUCUGGGGACAGCUGGCAGGGUUCAGGACAGGAACACAAACCCUAGGUGUGUGCUAUGCCUUGCUUGGCUGUGUCACCAGCACAAAUCCAUCUCGGACCCUCUGGGUGCCCCAGGUAAACCCAUCCCCUCCUCUCCCAACCUCAGGCUCCAGGUGAGGGGUUCCCUCUGCAGGCUCCCGUGUGAGAGCUCGCAUGGAUCUGUGAGCGCACGCAAAGGGAAGCCUUGAGAGCUACAACUCACCCAAACCGUCACGAUUCCAUUUAUUUUUACAUUAAAUGUUUCUGCUUUAUGAAAGGAAUAAAAGAACUGCAACAACCACAAUGAAAUAAGAGAGCGAAUGCCCAGAGGUAACUACAGUAUAAAAUCAUAUUCAUCAUAUCAUAAUAUUUUACAUUUGCUUGUUGUUUUACGUGGAUUACAGCCCCCUCAACACACGAUCCAACAGCAGCAGGAGAGGAAGGGCAGCAAGAAUGAGUCCCUGGCUCACAGGGCACGAGCUGAGGGCACCGUCCCCUUCAGGGCCUGACAGUGCCAUCCAGCAUGGCUGCUGGGUGGCCUUUGAGCAACCUGGGCUCAAGGGAGGUGUCCCUGCCUAUAGCAGGAGGGUUGGAACUGGAAGACCUUAAGGGUCCCUUCCAACCCAAACCUUUCUACAAUUCUAUUAAGGGAGUCCCCAAGCCACGUGGGAUGGGAGCAUUACUCAUCUCCUGAAAGGCUUCAGACCAAGAUUAAAUGCCUUCCCGGAGCUACCUUCUAAUAACAUGUGCUUGAUGAGGUGCAGAGGAGAGUUUGGACUGCACCCACCAACCUCUCACACCGGAGCUCAGCAGUUGCUGACUUCCAAGCAGCUCCCAAAGGCAUCUUCUUCCAAAAGAACUGCUAACCCCCUAACUUGGGUGAGAGCAUGGGAUGCGUUUGGGAGCAAUAGGGCCUUUGUUGUUGUUGUUUUUUUCCUGUUUGUUUGCUUCUGGCAAAGAAGGGAAUAACUGAAGCAGACCUUGCUUCUCAGUCCUGAGCUGUGACAGUGCCUGUGGAGGCAGUUUGGUGUUUGCAGGACAGUGCAUUCACCUGAAGUUCAAGACAGCAGCUUCUGCUGAUGGCAGGCUGCGUGUCUUUUCCUGCAUAAAAUCCAACAUGACAUUUACUACCCUUCUUACAAUGCUUUUAAAUAUCUUUCCAGAUGCUUCCAAAGAACAAUUUUAAAUUAUCCAUAUGCCAUUUGUCACAUGUGCUGUACAGACAGUGCACCAUUUCUGUGCUCUGUAGUGCAGGGCAGAGCGACACUUCGUGCGUUUUGUUUGUUUGAAAUGAGUCUGCAUGGCAAAGAAAUCUGCUGCAUGCGAUGCCACAGUGCCAUUUCUACAGUGAGAGCUUUUGCCAUGGCAGUUUGCAAACAGGGUGCGAGCAUUAAGUAAUUAUUAGAGCCUUCAUAGAAUCAUAGAAGGGCCUGGGUUGGAAAGGACCUCAAUGCUCAUCCAGUUCCAACCCCCUGCUAUGUGCAGGGUCGCCAACCAGCAGACCAGGCUGCCCAGAGCCACAUCCAGCCUGGCCAUGAAUGCCUCCAGGGAUGGGGCAUCCACAGCCUCCUUGGGCAACCUGUUCCAGCCUUCCUGCUGUGUAAGCAUGCAUGUAAAACUGGAACACAAACUGCAACCCAGAAUGAGAUAAGUAAUUGUCCAGUCCCAUCCAAUGAGCUCUCAACAGAAUUAAACCUCGGUAUGUUUUCCUGCAGGAUGCUGUGGGCUGCUCCUCCUCCCCAUCCCACAAACGCAUACUUGUCAGACACAAUGCUUCCUUCCCCUUCUCCUUUCUCUUCUCCUUUCCUUUCCCUUCCCCACCGCCUUUCUCUUCCUUCCAUUUUCCAUCUCUCAAUUCACAUCUCUCUCCCUGUUUGCUUUGUGUAGCUCUGCAUCACCCUACCACGUGAGCCCACUACUUCCCAAGCCCUCACACUCCCAAUCAAACUACUGCAGACCCAGACCUCCCCUCCUGGUCCUGUUGAGCGCUCAUUGCUCAGGAUGGUGACUCUUCAAUGUGGGCACAUUUAGCACAGCUCUGUUUCUUUUUUUAUAUCACCAAACUACAAAGACAAGGUUUCAUUACCUGCAUGUUCACAGCACAGUGAAACAUUUACCUAAAAGGAGCAGGGUGCUCAGAGGGAAUGAGGGAAUGGUGCUGACACAGAGCACAAAUGAGCUCUGCUCGGUUUGCUGCCUCCUUUAACUCACCAAUACCUGGCAGCAGAGCUGGCUCCCCUGCACUUUCCUAGGAGAACUAAUCCAGCAAUUAGACCAUUCUUAAGGACAGAAAGGAAAUGACAUGUCAUGGAAGAGAAGAGGCGAGUUUGGAUUUGAUACCUGGCUUUGUGCUUGGGGCUGAUGGAGGCAUCUCCACGUGUCCCUCUGUGGACACACUGAUGGACUGCAGUGUGCCAUGGGUUUUGGCUCUUCCCCUGCCUUGCAAAGUUGCAGCGGGGCUUUGCAGAGCUAUUUUAAAUGCACUAAUUGCUUCUGGUGCUCUCCGCUCUGUGAAAACAAAUGUGCUUCAGCUGCCAAACCUCCUGGGUCAUGUCCCUGUCUGGAGACCAACAGGAAACACAGCUUUUCACCCGUGGUGCCCCAGGCAUCACCCCAGCUGCUGGCUGCCCUUGUCCCCUGCCCAGUAAGGGCCCUGUGGGGCCACUGAGGGGCGAUUUGGGGACACAGAGUUCAGCACCUCUGCUCAGCAUCGGGGUGACUUAGCAGAAGGACUCCACGCCCUUGUCCAGGGGACAUUGGAUUUGUGUCCCCAGCUGCCCUGUGUGUGAUGGGAAUAGCAGGGCUGAGCUUUGUAGGCAUUCCUCAGUUUGCAGGACCCCAAGUGAUGCUUUAUCCAGAGCCAACCUUGUUCUGGGGACGUCAUUUUGGCAGAUUUUGUACCUUGUGCAUCAUGAAGGGGCUCUGAUGGGACAGCCAAGAGAGGAAAGCCCACACUGAGCAAUCCCAAUUCCCCUAUUUGUGGCGGAGUCGGGGAGAAAAACUGCAUUUCCUGACUUCAAGCUGCUUUUUUCCAUCCAAAUUGAACUCGGCGCCCACGCCCUUCCCAAAGCAAGCUGACCAAGAUGGAUGGGCACACAAAACCUUUACCUCCAGCAGCAGCCAGCCCACUGCUGGCCGAUUGCUUUGUGGCCAGACUGCUGCUCUGCAAAGCCCACAGCCACUGGGAUGGAUUGCAGCCCUUCAUCUUUCGAGGCACAGCCCAUAUUUCAUCAGCCCUCUCCUGCCAUCCGGCCAUGGGAGCACAACGUGGGGUGGGUGCUGGCUGCCCACUGGUGUUUUAAUCGUGUGUCAAGAGUAGGCACAGGCAUAGGAGGGAAGCAAAUAAAGCAGACGAAAUGAGAUGCGGUAAUUAAGUUAUUCUUCAUCUUGGAGAUUGCUGUGGAGGACAAGAUUGGUACAAUGAGCCCGAGGCGCUUCUCCUUUCACUCCUCUCCAUCUCAAUGCCUGUGACACGGAAGAUGAAUAUGCAGCAUUUUCUAUUUGUGCUACUAAAACGCCCAUUAAAUGCCAGCAGGGAAAAAACGAUACACAAACGCCAGAAUUCUGCUACACUGUGUGCCUGAGAGAGACAGAGGGAGCAUCCCUCCUUUGUCUGGAGAGAGGGAGACGCUUUGGGCUGGGGGAGGGGGUGGCGAUGGGCACAGGG